rnacentral:rRNA from 1 species
UACGUAGGGGGCAAGCGUUGUCCGGAAUCAUUGGGCGUAAAGCGCGCGUAGGCGGCCCUGUAAGUCCGUUGUGAAAGUCAAAGGCUCAACCUUUGAAAGCCGAUGGAUACUGCAGGGCUAGAGUCCGGAAGAGGCGAGUGGAAUUCCUGGUGUAGCGGUGGAAUGCGCAGAUAUCAGGAAGAACACCAAUGGCGAAGGCAGCUCUCUGGGACGGUACUGACGCUGAGACGCGAAAGCGUGGGGAGCGAACAGG